UCUAAUAUGGCAGAAAAGUGCAGUGGAUUUAAGCUCCUCAGAUAAAGUAAUAACUUUUAUUAGAA
rnacentral:tRNA from 1 species